rnacentral:rRNA from 1 species
CAGGAUGAACGCUGGCGGUCUGCUUAACACAUGCAAGUCGAACGAAUCCCUUCGGGGAUGAGUGGCGGACGGGUGAGUAGCGCGUGAGAAUCUGCCUUCAGGUUCGGGACAACCACUGGAAACGGUGGCUAAUACCGAAUGUGCCGCAACGUGAAAGAUUUAUCGCCUGAAGAUGAGCUCGCGUCCGAUUAGCUAGUUGGUGAGGUAAAAGCUCACCAAGGCGACGAUCGGUAGCUGGUCUGAGAGGAUGACCAGCCACACUGGGACUGAGACACGGCCCAGACUCCUACGGGAGGCAGCAGUGGGGAAUUUUCCGCAAUGGGCGCAAGCCUGACGGAGCAAGACCGCGUGAGGGAGGAAGGCCCAAGCGGUUGUAAACCUCUUUUCUCAGGGAAGAAGAAAGUGACGGUACCUGAGGAAUCAGCCUCGGCUAACUCCGUGCCAGCAGCCGCGGUAAUACGGAGGAGGCAAGCGUUAUCCGGAAUUAUUGGGCGUAAAGCGUCCGUAGGUGGUUAUGUAAGUCUGCUGUCAAAGCACAGGGCUUAACCCUGUAAAGGCAGUGGAAACUACAAGACUCGAGUGCGGUAGGGGCAGAGGG